AACGAACGCUGGCGGCAGGCUUAACACAUGCAAGUCGAACGCAUCCUUCGGGGUGAGUGGCAGACGGGUGAGUAAAGCGUGGGAAUAUGCCCUUCAGUACGGAAUAACUCAGGGAAACUUGUGCUAAUACCGUAUACGCCCUUUUGGGGAAAGAUUUAUCGCUGAAGGAUUAGCCCUCGUCUGAUUAGCUAGCUGGUGGGGUAAUGGCCUACCAAGGCGACGAUCAGUAGCUGGUCUGAGAGGAUGAUCAGCCACACUGGGACUGAGACACGGCCAAGAGUGCUACGGGAGGCAGCAGUGGGGAAGAUUGGACAAUGGGCGCAAGCCUGAUCAAGCCAUGCCGCGUGAGUGAUGAAGGCCUUGGGGUUGUAAAGCUCGUGCGUUGGGGAAGAUAAUGACGGUACCCAAAGGAGAAGCCCCGGCUAACUUCGUGCCAGCCGCCGCAGUAAGAC
rnacentral:rRNA from 1 species